rnacentral:rRNA from 1 species
AGAGUUUGAUCCUGGCUCAGGAUGAACGCUGGCGGCGUGCUUAACACAUGCAAGUCGAACGGGAAUGCUUCGCUGAUGCGAUUUCGGUCAAAUCUUGAAGCAUUUUAGUGGCGGACGGGUGAGUAACGCGUGGGUAACCUGCCCUGUACAGGGGGACAACAGUUGGAAACGACUGCUAAUACCGCAUAAGCGCACAGCUUCGCAUGAAGCAGUGUGAAAAACUCCGGUGGUACAGGAUGGACCCGCGUCUGAUUAGAUAGUUGGUGAGGUAACGGCCCACCAAGUCAACGAUCAGUAGCCGGCCUGAGAGGGCGAACGGCCACAUUGGGACUGAGACACGGCCCAAACUCCUGCGGGAGGCAGCAGUGGGGAAUAUUGCACAAUGGGGGAAACCCUGAUGCAGCGACGCCGCGUGAGUGAAGAAGUAUUUCGGUAUGUAAAGCUCUAUCAGCAGGGAAGAAAACAAUGACGGUACCUGACUAAGAAGCCCCGGCUAACUACGUGCCAGCAGCCGCGGUAAAACGUAGGUCACAAGCGUUGUCCGGAAUUACUGGGUGUAAAGGGAGCGCAGGCGGGAAGACAAGUUGGAAGUGAAAUCCAUGGGCUCAACCCAUGAACUGCUUUCAAAACUGUUUUUCUUGAGUAGUGCAGAGGUAGGCGGAAUUCCCGGUGUAGCGGUGGAAUGCGUAGAUAUCGGGAGGAACACCAGUGGCGAAGGCGGCCUACUGGGCACCAACUGACGCUGAGGCUCGAAAGUGUGGGUAGCAAACAGGAUUAGAUACCCUGGUAGUCCACACCGUAAACGAUGAUUACUAGGUGUUGGAGGAUUGACCCCUUCAGUGCCGCAGUUAACACAAUAAGUAAUCCACCUGGGGAGUACGACCGCAAGGUUGAAACUCAAAGGAAUUGACGGGGGCCCGCACAAGCAGUGGAGUAUGUGGUUUAAUUCGACGCAACGCGAAGAACCUUACCAAGUCUUGACAUCCCUUGACGAUGCUGGAAACAGUAUUUCUCUUCGGAGCAAGGAGACAGGUGGUGCAUGGUUGUCGUCAGCUCGUGUCGUGAGAUGUUGGGUUAAGUCCCGCAACGAGCGCAACCCUUAUGUCAGUUACUACGCAAGAGGACUCUGGCCAGACUGCCGUUGACAAAACGGAGGAAGGUGGGGAUGACGUCAAAUCAUCAUGCCCUUUAUGACUUGGGCUACACACGUACUACAAUGGCGUUAAACAAAGAGAAGCAAGACCGCGAGGUGGAGCAAAACUCAGAAACAACGUCCCAGUUCGGACUGCAGGCUGCAACUCGCCUGCACGAAGUCGGAAUUGCUAGUAAUCGUGGAUCAGCAUGCCACGGUGAAUACGUUCCCGGGCCUUGUACACACCGCCCGUCACACCAUGAGAGCCGGGGGGACCCGAAGUCGGUAGUCUAACCGCAAGGAGGACGCCGCCGAAGGUAAAACUGGUGAUUGGGGUGAAGUCGAACAAGGUA